UGGGAUCUCGGAUGCGAUUCU
rnacentral:siRNA from 1 species